rnacentral:snRNA from 1 species
ACCGUGAAAGCGUGGCCUAUCG